UUGUGAUCCACCUGCCUCGGCCUCCCAUAGUACUGGGAUUACAGGUAUGAGCCAUAGUGCCCAGCCAGAUAUAACUUUUAACAAGACUUCACAGAAGGUUCAAGGAUGAUGGAGGGGAAGUGCAUAUGCACAGUAGCUCGCAACCGAGGUGUGCAUGGCUCAGGCUAUCUUCAGAGUGUCUUGGCAGACCAGCUCCUGGUCUUAUUCCUGCUUUAUCUGGGGCAAUUCGGCAACCCCUUGCCCCCUCCCCCUUGCACCAUUCUUCUGCCGCCAGAGAGAGUAGAAAGAUUUCCCUCACACUAGUCCUUGGGCUGUGCAAGGACUUGUGUACUUGUAGUCCAAGUACUGGCAGCAUCAGCGUCACCUGGGAAAUUGUGAGAAAUGCAGAAUCAUAGGCCCUGCCCUAGACCCACUGAAAUAUAAUCUGUAUAAGCCUUCUAGGUGAUUUGUAAGAACAUUAAAGUUUAAGAAGUUAUUCUAGUCUAAGGCUUGCCUCUCGUGCCUUCAUUUCCUGUUCCAGAUUUGAACUCUACCUGGGAUGACUGGCUAUGGGAACAUUUUUUUUUUCAGGGAAAACUCCACCCUCACAGCGAUGUAGACUUUUGGGCUCAACAGGACACUCAUACAAUUCCAUACAACUAGUACAUAGUCUCAAAUCCAGGCUGGUCAGUUUAAAUAAAUGGUCACUAUGCGGCAUGAAAAGCCCAAUCCAGAUACACACAGAGGCACAUUGGAAACACAGUAGAAAACGGCUGCCAAUUUCAAACCGGAAGUUAAGAAGAGCAAACUCGAAUGUACAGCAAGAGGGCUUCAGGCUGGACUAGCUUCCAGCAGAAGUGAAACUGAAAACCUUGGAUUCUAUUGCCUCUUUUCUGUGACGUGGGAAAAUAGGUCAGUAUCUGAACUUGAACUUGGUCAUUACUGCUCAUUUCCUAACCUUUUCCAAGCCACCUAACUCCCCUGAGGCUUAGUUUUCUCAUCUGUGAAUUGCGGGAUGAUAUGUUCAUGAGGUUGCUGUAAAGACUGAAUGAGAUAAUGUUUAUAGAAGCACCAAGCAUGGCCUCUGUCAUACAAUAGGUGCUUAAUAAAUAUGAACUGGAGUACACA